rnacentral:rRNA from 1 species
CUGAUGAGCACGCCGCGUGAGUGAUGAAGGCCUUCGGGUUGUAAAGCUCUGUCUUUGGGGACGAUAAUGACGGUACCCAAGGAGGAAGCCACGGCUAACUACGUGCCAGCAGCCGCGGUAAUACGUAGGUGGCAAGCGUUGUCCGGAUUUACUGGGCGUAAAGGAUGCGUAGGUGGAUAUUUAAGUCAGAUGUGAAAUACCCGGGCUUAACUUGGGUGCUGCAUUUGAAACUGUAUAUCUAGAGUGCAGGAGAGGUAAGUGGAAUUCCUAGUGUAGCGGUGAAAUGCGUAGAGAUUAGGAAGAACACCAGUGGCGAAGGCGACUUACUGGACUGUAACUGACACUGAGGCAUGAAAGCGUGGGGAGCAAACAGGAUUAGAUACCCUGGUAGUCCACGCCGUAAACGAUGAGUACUAGGUGUAGGGGGUAUCGACUCCCUCUGUGCCGCAGUUAACACAAUAAGUACUCCGCCUGGGAAGUACGGUCGCAAGAUUAAAACUCAAAG